UACCAGCUCUCCGAGUGGUAGGGAUGAUUAUUGGGCUUAAAGCGUCCGUAGCCGGCUUAGCAAGUCUCCUGUUAAAUUCAGCGACCUAAUCGUUGAGCCGCGGGAGAUACUACUAGGCUAGGAGGCGGGAGAGGUCAACGGUACUUCCGGGGUAGGGGUGAAAUCCUAUAAUCCCGGGAGGACCACCAGUGGCGAAGGCUGUUGACUAGAACGCGCUCGACGGUGAGGGAUGAAAGCUGGGGGAGCGAACCGGAUUAGAUACCCGGGUAGUCCCAGCUGUAAACGAUGCGAGCUAGGUGUUGGGGUGGCUACGUGCCACUUCAGUGCCGCAGGGAAGCCAUUAAGCUCGCCGCCUGGGGAUACGGCCGCAAGGCUGAAACUUAAAGGAAUUGGGCGGGGGAGCACCACAAGGCGUGAAGCUUGCGGUUC
rnacentral:rRNA from 1 species